UACGGAGGGAGCUAGCGUUGUUCGGAAUUACUGGGCGUAAAGCGCACGUAGGCGGCGAUUCAAGUCAGAGGUGAAAGCCCGGGGCUCAACCCCGGAACUGCCUUUGAAACUAGAUUGCUAGAAUCCUGGAGAGGUGAGUGGAAUUCCGAGUGUAGAGGUGAAAUUCGUAGAUAUCGGGAGGAACACCAGUGGCGAAGGCGAGUCUCUGGCCUAAUACUGACGCUGAUGCGCGAAAAGCUAGGGGAGCAAACGGG
rnacentral:rRNA from 1 species